rnacentral:rRNA from 1 species
UACAGAGGUCCCAAGCGUUGUUCGGAUUCACUGGGCGUAAAGGGUGCGUAGGCGGUCGGGUAAGUCUGAUGUGAAAUCUCACAGCUUAACUGUGAAACUGCAUUGGAUACUAUUCGGCUUGAGUACUGCAGGGGAGACUGGAAUUCCUGGUGUAGCGGUGAAAUGCGCAGAUAUCAGGAGGAACACCGGUGGCGAAGGCGGGUCUCUGGGCAGUAACUGACGCUGAGGAGCGAAAGCGUGGGGAGCGAACAGG